rnacentral:rRNA from 1 species
CGAGUGAAGUGGGAAAAGCUCAACUUUGAAAUCUGGCAGCUUCGCUGUCCGAGUUGUAGUCUCGAGAAGCGUCUUCCGCGCUGAAGCAUGCAUGAGUCUGUUGGAAUACAGCGUCAUAGAGGGUGAGAACCCCGUUCGUGGCAUGCCUUUCAGUGCUUUGUGAUGCGCUUUCGAUGAGUCGAGUUGUUUGGGAAUGCAGCUCUAAUUGGGUGGUAAAUUCCAUCUAAAGCUAAAUAUUGGCGGGAGACCGAUAGCAAACAAGUACCGUGAGGGAAAGAUGAAAAGCACUUUGGAAAGAGAGUUAAAAGUACGUGAAAUUGUCGAAAGGGAAACGAUUGAAGUCGGACGUGCAGGGCAACUUGCAGGCCAACAUCGGUUUUAUUAGCCGGAUAAAGGUCAGAGGAAGGUGGCAGCUUCGGUUGUGUUAUAGCCUCUGACUGAAUACGGAUAGCGAGACCGAGGACCGCAGCGCAAGCUUAGG